rnacentral:rRNA from 1 species
CUGAGACACGGCCCAGACUCCUACGGGAGGCAGCAGUAGGGAAUCUUCCGCAAUGGACGAAAGUCUGACGGAGCAACGCCGCGUGAGUGAUGAAGGUUUUCGGAUCGUAAAACUCUGUUGUUAGGGAAGAACAAGUACCGUUCGAACAGGGCGGUACCUUGACGGUACCUAACCAGAAAGCCACGGCUAACUACGUGCCAGCAGCCGCGGUAAUACGUAGGUGGCAAGCGUUGUCCGGAAUUAUUGGGCGUAAAGCGCGCGCAGGCGGUUUCUUAAGUCUGAUGUGAAAGCCC